UUUGAUUUUCCACCUCUCCUAUAAUGUUUGUUAGUGAAGCUGCUGGAGGUGGUGAAUAUAUUGUAGAAGUGGCCAUGCAUGGAAAGCUUAUCGACUCCUUCCCAUCCUCAGCAAGGUCCUAAAUCAAGAGAAGACAAUAUUAUGUGAUGCAUUUUUGCAUAUCAUUGCUGCUAGUUGUACCAGUUGGUCAUCAAAAUGCCUGAUCACACAGACUGAAUAAUUCCCAUAAAAUAUGAAGAAACUACUGUGCAGAACAUUUAACAAACAGGGAAGGAAAUAAUUUUCAGAAAAGUGUAAUCUUAGGAAUGGACUAACCUCAGAAUCCAGGGAGUUGAAAAUUGCCUCUGGGAUAGGGUCCGGGUUGAAUUCAUCUGGGACAAAA
rnacentral:misc_RNA from 1 species